CAUCAUGUGAGAGAGAAUAGGGUGAAGGACAUUGGUGACCAUUUGUUUCCUCUGGAGCGGUCGAUUGGUCAUGAACUUCCUGGUCCAGGUAGUUACUGUGUCAUUCAUGAUGGUGGUUGAUCCUCAGGUAGUUAGGGAGGAAAAUAAACAAGAAGUUAUAUAUUUAAAAUCACGUUUCAAUUUUAGACCUGAUUAAUUGACUUAAUAAAGGGCAUUAGCACUUCUACUUCCUACGGUCCCUCCCUUUACCUCUGGAAACUAGUUAUUUCUAGGUUGUUUUAUGUUGUUAAGGUUGACACCUUCUCUUUCUGUUCUGCAAUCAUAGUCCUAUCACUAGCCUUUUUUCAUGGUCAUUCAGUUCACAAGUUGCUUAUUUUUUAAUUUCUUGGCUGACUAAAUUUUAUUAUGAAGACUUU
rnacentral:lncRNA from 1 species